rnacentral:rRNA from 1 species
UUAAGUCAGGCAACGAGCGAGACCCACGCCCACAGUUGCCAGCGUACUCUCCGGAGUGACGGGUACACUGUGGGGACCGCCUCUGCUAAAGAGGAGGAAGGAAUGGGCAACGGUAGGUCAGCAUGCCCCGAAUUAUCCGGGCUACACGCGGGCUACAAUGGGUGGGACAAUGGGUAUCGACACCGAAAGGUGAAGGCAAUCUCCUAAACCCAUCCUUAGUUCGGAUUGUGGGCUGCAACUCGCCCACAUGAAGCUGGAAUCUGUAGUAAUCGUGUCUCAACAUGGCACGGUGAAUAUGUCCCUGCUCCUUGCACA